AAGAAUUUAAGUUAACAAAACUAUUGACCUUCAAAGUCAAAAUUAGAUAAUAUUUAUCUAAUUC
rnacentral:tRNA from 1 species